CUGUUGCAAAAAACUCCCGCCGCUGCACUCUACACCCCUUUUCCCUCCCGCCGCUGCACCUCUUCCUCCUCCUCCUUUUCGUUUCUCUCCGUCACUCUCAACGCCACACCACCGUCGCCUUCCAGGUGAAGCUCUCUGGAUCAAUUAGUAGUCAGUACUUGACUGCUUUGCUUAUGGCAGCUCCUUUGCACUGAACUAAGAAAGCUGGGAGCAACUGUUGAAGAGGGACCAGAUUACUGCAUAAUCACACCGCCAGAAAAAUUAAACGUGACAGCAAUAGACACGUAUGAUGACCACCGAAUGGCCAUGGCUUUCUCUCUUGCUGCCUGUGGAGACGUUCCAGUUACUAUCAAGGAUCCCGGUUGUACCAGAAAAACAUUCCCCGAUUACUUUGAAGUCCUCAGGAAGUUUACCAAGCAUUGAACAGCGGUUAUAAGAUAUAU